GACAGAGGGGGCAAGCGUUGCUCGGAAUCACUGGGCGUAAAGGGCGCGUAGGCGGGAUGGCAAGUCGGUCGUGAAAUCUCUCGGCUCAACCGAGAAACGUCGGCCGAUACUGCCGUUCUUGAGGGAUGCAGAGGAGACUGGAAUUCCCGGUGUAGCGGUGAAAUGUGUAGAGAUCGGGAGGAACACCGGUGGCGAAGGCGGGUCUCUGGGCAUUUCCUGACGCUGAGGCGCGAAAGCAUGGGGAUCAAACAGG
rnacentral:rRNA from 1 species